rnacentral:rRNA from 1 species
GAUGAACGCUGGCGGCGUGCCUAAUACAUGCAAGUCGAGCGAACGGACGAGAAGCUUGCUUCUCUGAUGUUAGCGGCGGACGGGUGAGUAACACGUGGAUAACCUACCUAUAAGACUGGGAUAACUUCGGGAAACCGGAGCUAAUACCGGAUAAUAUUUUGAACCGCAUGGUUCAAAAGUGAAAGACGGUCUUGCUGUCACUUAUAGAUGGAUCCGCGCUGCAUUAGCUAGUUGGUAAGGUAACGGCUUACCAAGGCAACGAUGCAUAGCCGACCUGAGAGGGUGAUCGGCCACACUGGAACUGAGACACGGUCCAGACUCCUACGGGAGGCAGCAGUAGGGAAUCUUCCGCAAUGGGCGAAAGCCUGACGGAGCAACGCCGCGUGAGUGAUGAAGGUCUUCGGAUCGUAAAACUCUGUUAUUAGGGAAGAACAUAUGUGUAAGUAACUGUGCACAUCUUGACGGUACCUAAUCAGAAAGCCACGGCUAACUACGUGCCAGCAGCCGCGGUAAUACGUAUGUGGCAAGCGUUAUCCGGAAUUAUUGGGCGUAAAGCGCGCGUAGGCGGUUUUUUAAGUCUGAUGUGAAAGCCCACGGCUCAACCGUGGAGGGUCAUUGGAAACUGGAAAACUUGAGUGCAGAAGAGGAAAGUGGAAUUCCAUGUGUAGCGGUGAAAUGCGCAGAGAUAUGGAGGAACACCAGUGGCGAAGGCGACUUUCUGGUCUGUAACUGACGCUGAUGUGCGAAAGCGUGGGGAUCAAACAGGAUUAGAUACCCUGGUAGUCCACGCCGUAAUCGAUGAGUGCUAAGUGUUAGGGGGUUUCCGCCCCUUAGUGCUGCAGCUAACGCAUUAAGCACUCCGCCUGGGGAGUACGACCGCAAGGUUGAAACUCAAAGGAAUUGACGGGGACCCGCACAAGCGGUGGAGCAUGUGGUUUAAUUCGAAGCAACGCGAAGAACCUUACCAAAUCUUGACAUCCUUUGACAACUCUAGAGAUAGAGCCUUCCCCUUCGGGGGACAAAGUGACAGGUGGUGCAUGGUUGUCGUCAGCUCGUGUCGUGAGAUGUUGGGUUAAGUCCCGCAACGAGCGCAACCCUUAAGCUUAGUUGCCAUCAUUAAGUUGGGCACUCUAAGUUGACUGCCGGUGACAAACCGGAGGAAGGUGGGGAUGACGUCAAAUCAUCAUGCCCCUUAUGAUUUGGGCUACACACGUGCUACAAUGGACAAUACAAAGGGCAGCGAAACCGCGAGGUCAAGCAAAUCCCAUAAAGUUGUUCUCAGUUCGGAUUGUAGUCUGCAACUCGACUACAUGAAGCUGGAAUCGCUAGUAAUCGUAGAUCAGCAUGCUACGGUGAAUACGUUCCCGGGUCU